rnacentral:rRNA from 1 species
AUUGAACGCUGGCGGUAUGCUUAACACAUGCAAGUCGAACGGUAACAGGCUUUCGGGCGCUGACGAGUGGCGGACGGGUGAGUAACGCGUAGGAAUCUGCCUUAUAGUGGGGGACAACGUGGGGGAAACCCACGCUAAUACCGCAUACGCCCUACGGGGGAAAGCGGGGGAUCUUAGGACCUCGCGCUAUGAGAUGAGCCUGCGUUAGAUUAGCUAGUUGGUAGGGUAAAGGCCUACCAAGGCGACGAUCUAUAGCUGGUCUGAGAGGACGAUCAGCCACACUGGGACUGAGACACGGCCCAGACUCCUACGGGAGGCAGCAGUGGGGAAUAUUGGACAAUGGGCGCAAGCCUGAUCCAGCAAUACCGCGUGUGUGAAGAAGGCCCUAGGGUUGUAAAGCACUUUCAAUGGGGAGGAAAACCUGCCGGUCAAUACCCGGUAGCUUGACAUUACCUAUAGAAGAAGCACCGGCUAACUCCGUGCCAGCAGCCGCGGUAAU